rnacentral:rRNA from 1 species
CAAUAGCGUAUAUUAAAGUUGUUGCAGUUAAAAAGCUCGUAGUUGGAUUUGUGGUGUACUUCGGCGGCCCGUCACUAUGUGAUGGAGCUUGCUGAAGUCGCCAUCCUUGGGUGGAUCCUGUGUGGCAUUAAGUUGUCGUGCAGGGGAUGCCCAUCGUUUACUGUGAAAAAAUUAGAGUGUUCAAAGCAGGCUUAUGCCGUUGAAUAUAUUAGCAUGGAAUAAUAAGAUAGGACCUUGGUACUAUUUUGUUGGUUUGCGCACCAAGGUAAUGAUUAAUAGGGACGGUUGGGGGUAUUCGUAUUUCAUUGUCAGAGGUGAAAUUCUUGGAUUUUUGAAAGACGAACUACUGCGAAAGCAUUUACCAAGGAUGGUUUCAUUAA